rnacentral:rRNA from 1 species
UACGGAGGGAGCUAGCGUUGUUCGGAAUUACUGGGCGUAAAGCGCACGUAGGCGGCUUUGUAAGUUAGAGGUGAAAGCCCGGGGCUCAACUCCGGAACUGCCUUUAAGACUGCAUCGCUUGAAUCCAGGAGAGGUGAGUGGAAUUCCGAGUGUAGAGGUGAAAUUCGUAGAUAUCGGGAGGAACACCAGUGGCGAAGGCGGCGACCUGGGCCAAUACUGACGCUGAGGUGCGAAAGCGUGGGGAGCAAACAGG